rnacentral:lncRNA from 10 species
UAGAGACAGGGUUUCUCCAUGUUGUCCAAGCUGGUCUCAAACCUCUGAGCUCAAGCAAUCCUCCCGCCUCAGCCUUCCAAGGUGCUGGGAUUACAAGCAUGAGCCACUGCACCCAGCCCAAAUUCAUCUUUCAAGGCACCAUGCUGGAUACUUGGGAUGGAACAGAAAAGAAGACACAGUUUGUGUUUCUGCCACUUACAGUCCAGUGGGGGAGGGCAGGAAACACCCAGACACCAUAGGAAGUGCCAGAUGAGGAUAAAACAGGUUUUACUCUAAGAGACCAUAAACACACAUGGGCCUGGGAGGGAAUGUUCUGUGUGCUCCUGCUACCCCAAAGCACUGUGGAAACAGUGAUCUGCCAUCACUUAC